ACUUGAAAUUAACGGUGAUAAUGGUUAUCGUGUGCCUCCAAUUAGCCAUCACAGUGUACGUGAUGUAUAAAAAGCACUCCCGUAGAGAGGCCUUGAAAGUUGCAAAAUCGGUCGCCUCAUUACAGGUUUAAAUCAAAGACGAAAUAAGAACUCAAAGUAUCUAAGACAAAACGCUGAUCGAAGAAAAUUGUUAAAAGUGAAAACCCCCCAGCUAAGGGACAAUCACAACCAAUGUGAGUGAUACAGAAAAAUAAACAGUUCAAACGAAGCCACCAUCUAUGCCGUGUGCAUAAAAAUAUCGAAAAGUGUUAUCAGCGAUGAAGCUAAUCAAAGCCCACGAAAAUACCGAACGAGUGUUCCUGCGUACUGAAUACCAACAGGGGUGAGCGUUGAGGAGAGCGCCUCCGCCAUCCACUAUCUACUAAACCAUCAAGGUGUUGAGGAGAGCGCCUCCACCUGAAAUACACUCGUGUGGAGACGCGAGCCAAUGUCGUUCAUCAGCAAGCAGCAGAGACAGGAAGUUUUCAACAAAUGCGUGGGUAAAACGCAUGUAUCACAACGACAACACAUAGCUACGACGCUAGAUGGAAUUAUCCAGAAUUGAACCCAACACCGGGAAUAACUUCAAUUAGACAACAGCACAGACAACAACAAUAACAGAUAACAACAGCAACGGUAGAAGCUGCCCAUCGGCCACGCACGGAACGAUGCCCAUCCAUUCCUUCGCGUGGAAAACCAGCGCAGCAUAAUCCAUGAAACCAGAGACUUGCACCGGACGCGUACCCACCGUGAGAUGCUGACGACGACGACGACGACGACGACAGCAUGGCAGGCUAGGAACAGUGUUUUGAGUCAGCAGCUAAUAGAAUCAGGCUUAAACUUCAAUUAUCCAUUUUCAAAUAAAGAAAUUCAUUCCGUCUUUGUAGUUCGUAUCCUGAACAACUCGUUUAGAACAAUUCAGAAGUCCCUAAAUUUAUUUUAAUUCUUUUUCCAAGUUCAAGUGUGAAAUUCGGUUUCCACAACAAGUCAGGCCUUUGUAAUUUGGAACGAUCGCAAUAAAUCAGUCUUAGAUUAACUUUCAACCCGUCAA